CCUACGGGGGGCAGCAGUAGGGAAUCUUUCACAAUGGGCGAAAGCCUGAUGGAGCAACGCCGCGUGCAGGAUGAAGGCCUUCGGGUUGUAAACUGCUUUUAUAAGCGAGAAAUAUGAUGGCAACUUAUGAAUAAGGAUCGGCUAACUACGUGCCAGCAGCCGCGGUCAUACGUAGGAUCCGAGCAUUAUCCGGAGUGACUGGGUGUAAAGAGUUGCGUAGGUGGCAUAAUAAGUAGCUAGUGAAAUCUGGUGGCUCAACCAUUCAGACUCUUAGCUAAACUGUUAAGCUCGAGACCGUUAGGGGUAACUGGAAUUUCUAGUGUAGGAGUGAAAUGCGUAGAUAUUAGAAGGAACACCAAUAGCGUAGGCAGGUUACUGGGACGGUUCUGACACUAAGGCACGAAAGCGUAGGGAGCAAACGGGAUUAGAUACCCCAGUAGUC
rnacentral:rRNA from 1 species